AAGUAAAAAAAUUUGUAAAAAAAAAACGUUUUGUAGGUCCUGUGGCCCUUGCGGCCCCUUUUGCAGUCCCUGCUGUGAACCGCGCUGUGGAACAUCCUGCUGAGCGAUAGCCCAUGUUCGACGAAUCUGAAAAGGUGCUGUAACUUUCUGUUCUGCUGAUAGUGACAGCUAGUCAUUUUUGGCGGACCAGCGACGACUAGCUCUUCUGCUUUUUGUGGAUCAAUCCUUGGGCCGAGCGUCAGACUUUACACAAGCGAGGCAUCCGAGGACUCGGGCUUCAGUUGGGAUGAGCUGAGCUGGCUCAGCACAAGCAGUGCCGCCGUUUCCGAUUCCUCGCGCAGCAAUAUCAAAAAUAGCAACAAAAUCAAUUUAGAUUAAGUCCUCGAAUCGAUCCCAAUACCAUACGUCGGCAUCCCAAUACCUUCCUGACGGGCUGGCCCUUCAGCAGCAGGUCGCUCUAUGGCCUGCUCUGUGGGCAGCAGUCCUUCCCCUUCGGCAGGCUUCCGUUUUUCUGCCGGAUCCAGUCCAACAUUUAUUUCGCGUCGUAUUUUUAAGAUGUCGUAGGUACGCUUGAAAAGAAGCGCGAGUAUGAUGGGCCCAGCCAGGACCCCCACCCAGUGGGCGCAGUGGGAAGGCGAGACGAUGACGACCGGUGGCUAAGGGGUCGGUGGCUGGAAAUAACGGAAUGCACUUUAUUCGCUCUGGAAAGAACAGCAAGAGCUCCCUGAGGCUGUGAAUCUUUCGACACGAAGACACUGUAUCCCGUAAUUAAAUGAAGACAACAAAAUUUCGUUAACAAACAAUUUUUUAGAAAAAAAUAUAAAAUUUUCGCUUGAUUUUAGCUCCCUGUGGAAAAUAAAAACGAAAAGAAAUGUG